rnacentral:rRNA from 1 species
AACGAACGCUGGCGGCAUGCCUAACACAUGCAAGUCGAACGAGAUCUUCGGGUCUAGUGGCGCACGGGUGCGUAACGCGUGGGAAUCUGCCCUUUGGUUCGGAAUAACAGUUGGAAACGACUGCUAAUACCGGAUGAUGACGAAAGUCCAAAGAUUUAUCGGCAAAGGAUGAGCCCGCGUAGGAUUAGGUAGUUGGUGGGGUAAAGGCCUACCAAGCCGACGAUCCUUAGCUGGUCUGAGAGGAUGAUCAGCCACACUGGGACUGAGACACGGCCCAGACUCCUACGGGAGGCAGCAGUGGGGAAUAUUGGACAAUGGGCGAAAGCCUGAUCCAGCAAUGCCGCGUGAGUGAUGAAGGCCUUAGGGUUGUAAAGCUCUUUUACCCGGGAUGAUAAUGACAGUACCGGGAGAAUAAGCUCCGGCUAACUCCGUGCCAGCCGCCGCGGUAA